UUGAUGGAUAACGAGAUAUCAAACAUUUGACGUCGAGACAGAUCCUUAACCAAUCCCCAAUCUCAGAUUUUCCCAAUCGUAGAUCAAUUGGAGACCUGUAAUUGGUGAUCAACAGAUCAUAGACUAUCAGAGAGGAGGAAGUGGUAUGUUAGUGAAGACUGAAGAUCCUAGCAUUUUUUAAUUUAUUACAUUGAGAUAUGAAUAUUUCACUCCAGAUACAUGUUUGAGAUUGUGCUAUGUGCCUGCAGACUUAGCAGAUCGAGCAUCCACAUCGCUGUGACCCAGGCCAUUGAUAUGAAUGCUUUGAGAAGUAAUUUGCUAUUUAGUAGGCUAUGAAAAAUAAUUCUGGAGUUUUUAUUGUGCAAAUCACUUCUUUAUGUUUCAAAAUUGCUCCUUUGAACAUGAUAAUGGGGCCUGUUUAACGAUACUGCAGUAACAUUUGAAUAUUGCUCCUCUCUAUUCCUCACAAACCAUAUCAGUUUGUGAAAUUCUGAUAUCCGCUAAGGCAUUCUGUAUUACUGAUGUUAUGACUGUUGUUUCUUAAAUAUUAGAAAUAUUAAUUCCUUUUUCUUCUGAAUCAGAAUAUGCUAGGAAGCACAAGAUAGUUAUGGAUCACAUCAAGGAUGCAACUUGGACGUGGUAAUAAGCAAUGUCCAAGCUGCAUUAGUUUUGGCAAAGAAAUACAAGAUUGUAUUGAACGUGUUGCCAUGAAUCUGGUCGAUGGCAAAGAAGGACCUCCUGAAUCCUGAUGUUUGUGUCAUUGGACUUGGCGGCAUUAUAGGGGAUAUUGAGUCGAUGCCUUUUGUUGAAGCAUUAGGUCAAUUUUCAUAUUGUGUUGGUAAGGAAACAUCAAAUCCAUCCCUGAGCAUGACAAUUUUCCUUUUGGCGUGGUCCUUUGUAUAGUUUCCUUUAGGCUUCAGUUGAUGUGUUCCUGUUAUGUACUGUAAGGCCUGUAAACUUCUCUUUGGUACACACCAGUCUUCUUUCUGUUCUGAAUAUAGUUGGUUAACAGGUAUAAUUAGCUUUUUAAGGUGAGUAUGUGUCAUCAUAUAUUCGAUUUCUAUGUACAAAUGUGUUGAUUUUAGUACACCCGUAAUGUUAAAUCCACUGAAUAAAUUAUUAACUAGCACGACCAGCUGAAAGAAUUUGGCUAGGAUAGUAGGAGUUCAUAGGAAACAUUAAGGUCAAUGGAUAUGAGCUCAAUUGUGUUUUCAGCAGAAUUUUUUUUUACUACUAUACCCAUGAGUUAUAUGUGAGUGGAAUCUUUGCUCCCUAUUUUUUAAAUCUCAAAUGCAUAUAGGUUUUCUUCAGGUUCUUUUCAGAAAUGAAGUGAUAAGUAGAGGGUAGCAUGCUAAAGGGUUGGGCAGAGAAUCAGGUAUUACUUUUGUUUUCUCUUAAUUGCAGUGACCCAUUUGCCCAUAUUUAAUAUGUUUAUGGCACUAUAAGAUUUUCUUUACUGUGACUCUUGGAGUCUUGGUGGAAUCCAAAGACAUAUUUCAAUUUGGUAACCAGCAAGGUUGUUCUUCAGUGGAUUUAGCUGAAAUUGCAAAGUAAUCUACAGAGAUCAUUGGACGAGCAGUGAUUGUAGUAGGUCGGUGAAAUGAAACGAAAAGGAACUGAAACUAAACUAAAUAACCAGAGAUUGAAAACUAAUAACCAGCAAGGUUGUUAUUGAAUAGAGGCCAUUUGUAGUGCUAUUGCUUAUCUAGGAAGCACAAAAAAAAUAUGUGCAAUUAGUGAUCAAGGAUGAAACAUGUCAAUGCUUCCCAUAUUAGUGGAAGGACAAUACAUCUUUGCUACUUCGAUGGUUUAUUUUGUUUAUUACCUUGUGCUUCAUAUGGUUUUAUCAUAAUAUGCUAAUCUGCACAUUUUUUCAGACAUGGGUUUUUCAUAUGGGCACAAAACUAGGCUGCAUUUUCAGAGCAGUAAACUUUUUCAACUGAUUCAUUGUUCUGGACGACCUAAACUCGGACAUGUGGCUAGAAGUUUUCAAGAGAAAUUUUCAUCAACUAGGACCCACUUUGGAACAUAUUUUCCUGUCCAUUCUUUAUUUCUUUAUAAGCAUGAUAUGAGUGUAUUUGUUAAUCUUUAAAGAUUUGUAUAUUGUUUCUGAAAUCCUUCAAUAUCGUACUAGGAGUUGAGAAUUUUUAUUCUUCAGGGUUAGUAAGAGGAAGGAAAAUCGCACUGAAACACUAUUAUGAUUUAUUAGCAUUGCUCAUAGAAACCGAAAUAUUUUUGAUA